rnacentral:tRNA from 1 species
GGUGUUGUGGUCUAGUGGAUAAGUCGCCGGACUGUGAAUCACAAGGUUAAGGGAUCAAGUCCCUGCAAUUCCA